rnacentral:rRNA from 1 species
AGGGGCAGCGGGGUAGUGCUUGCACUACUGCCGGCGACCGGCGCACGGGUGAGUAACACGUAUGGAACCUGCCCGCAGCAGGGGGAUAAGCGGAAGAAAUUCCGUCUAAUACCGCGUAAGAACGUUGGGAGGCAUCUCCCGAUGUUUAAAGAUUUAUCGGCUGCGGAUGGCCAUGCGGCGCAUUAGCUAGUCGGCGGGGUAACGGCCCACCGAGGCGACGAUGCGUAGGGGUUCUGAGAGGAAGGUCCCCCACACUGGUACUGAGACACGGACCAGACUCCUACGGGAGGCAGCAGUGAGGAAUAUUGGUCAAUGGCCGAGAGGCUGAACCAGCCAAGUCGCGUGAGGGAAGACGGCCCUACGGGUUGUAAACCUCUUUUGUCGGGGAGCAAAGCGAACCACGUGUGGUUCAUUGGGAGUACCCGAAGAAAAAGCAUCGGCUAACUCCGUGCCAGCAGCCGCGGUAAUACGGAGGAUGCGAGCGUUAUCCGGAUUUAUUGGGUUUAAAGGGUGCGCAGGCGGAGGUGCAAGUCAGCGGUCAAAUUGCGGGGCUCAACCCCGUACUGCCGUUGAAACUGCAUCCCUUGAGUGCGCGAGAAGUAUGCGGAAUGCGUGGUGUAGCGGUGAAAUGCAUAGAUAUCACGCAGAACUCCGAUUGCGAAGGCAGCAUACCGGCGCGCAACUGACGCUCAUGCACGAAAGCGUGGUUCGAACAAAGUUAGAUACCCUGGUAGUCCACGCAGUAAACGAUGAACACUAACUGUUCGGCCAGAAUGAUGGCUGAGUGGUACAGCGAAAGCGUUAAGUGUUCCACCUGGGGAGUACGCCGGCAACGGUGAAACUCAAAGGAAUUGACGGGGGCCCGCACAAGCGGAGGAACAUGUGGUUUAAUUCGAUGAUACGCGAGGAACCUUACCCGGGCUCAAACGACACAGGAAUACUUUUGAAAGGAGGUAGCCCUACGGGGUCUGUGUCGAGGUGCUGCAUGGUUGUCGUCAGCUCGUGCCGUGAGGUGUCGGCUUAAGUGCCAUAACGAGCGCAACCCCUAUCGCCAGUUACCAUCAAGUAAAGUUGGGGACUCUGGCGAGACUGCCGGCGCAAGCUGAGAGGAAGGCGGGGAUGACGUCAAAUCAGCACGGCCCUUACGUCCGGGGCGACACACGUGUUACAAUGGCAGGUACAGAGAGAAGCCAGGUGGUGACACCGAGCGGAACUCGAAAGCCUGUCUCAGUUCGGAUCGGAGUCUGCAACCCGACUCCGUGAAGCUGGAUUCGCUAGUAAUC